rnacentral:rRNA from 1 species
UACGUAGGGCGCGAGCGUUGUCCGGAUUUAUUGGGCGUAAAGAGCGUGUAGGCGGCCAGAUAGGUCCGUUGUGAAAACUGGAGGCUUAACCUCCAGCGGUCGAUGGAAACCAUCUGGCUAGAGUCCGGAAGAGGAGAGUGGAAUUCCUGGUGUAGCGGUGAAAUGCGCAGAUAUCAGGAAGAACACCCGUGGCGAAGGCGGCUCUCUGGGACGGUACUGACGCUGAGACGCGAAAGCGUGGGGAGCGAACAGG